UACGUAGGUGGCAAGCGUUGUCCGGAUUUACUGGGCGUAAAGAGCGCGCAGGCGGUCGGAUAAGUCGAAUGUGAAAGCCCCCGGCUCAACUGGGGAGGGUCAUUCGAUACUGUUCGACUCGAAGGCAGGAGAGGGAAGUGGAAUUCCCGGUGUAGUGGUGAAAUGCGUAGAUAUCGGGAGGAACACCAGUGGCGAAGGCGACUACCUGGCCUGUUCUUGACGCUGAGGCGCGAAAGCUAGGGGAGCAAACGGG
rnacentral:rRNA from 1 species